CUUAAGUCCAUCUGCCAUCAUGAAUCUGGAUCAACUGAAUGUCUUCAGCUCUGCCUCCCUGGUGCCACAAGGGUGAUUAUAACUAUCGAUAUGCAUCCCCCACUCUUUUAAAUGAAGACUAAUGGUUUAAAGUAAUGGCUGCUGCCACUUCUUCCAGCAGAAUUAGAGCAGAACAUCACAGUUGCAAGUAUUUAAGAACUGCUGCACACUUCAGAUCUGGCCAGUCUUCGGUCUCAACAUGGCUAGAGACAAAUGCAUAG
rnacentral:lncRNA from 1 species